UUAAUGUAUUUUAGCAUAGUUAUAAUAAAGAAACAAUUCAUGAGUCAGACAUCAUCAUUCCUUCCCAUUGGGUUCACCUGCAUUUACAACACAUUUAUAUGUUUUCUAUGUGAUAGCUCCUUGGUUUUUGUUCUCCCUUCCUCCCUUCUCUAGGCAAAGUACCUCAUAAAUGCUUCCAAAUGGAGAGGUGGAUCUCUAAGGACUUCUCUGCCACCCAAAUGCAUCUCUGAGAGCUUUUCUUCCUGGUGUGGCAUCCUCAUGGAUGGGGCUUGGUGGGUUUGCUUUGAAAAUAACAUGUGUCUCACUCUUAUUCCUGUGUCUUUCCAUAACCAGUGGUUCAGGAGACCUCAGAGCACCUGUAAUGAUACAGUCAAAACACAGAAGGACAGCUGGGUGAUUGAUGAGAAUCAGUAAGCUAAAUCUGAUAUUAUUUAAAUGGUAAAUUCACUUUAAAUAAAUUAUGCCUGGGAAAAGCUCAAGAACAUGGGUUUAGAUCAGUGUAAACAAAGCCUGCUGUAGCUUUUUGCUUUAUACUUUUUCUAUUUUGCAUGUUAGAGAAAAAUAAAGAUCAACCUGUAAACCAUAGUAACAUAGAGUUAGUAUUGUAUCAGGUUUACUUUGGUAUAUUGUCUUUUUUGUAACCUCUGGGUUUGGUGUAUUUAUGUUACUUGGAGACAAAAAUAACACAUAUUUUCUGUGUGUGGAUUGGUUGGUUUAAAUUCACAAAAAAAAGCAACACGUUAUUGCUUUGGUAUUGGACUCCGAGCGGAUGCUUUUCAUUAUAUUAUCUUCCUCAGUUUCAUAUAGUAUUGAUGAAAUUGAAAAUCAGUGACCUGACAAAGACAAAAUAAUACGGCAUGAAAAUUGCUACCAUGAUUUCAUGCUGUGUUAAUGCAAGGAUGUCAUUCCUGCUUCAGAAUAAUAACAGUGUUUUGCUUCUGAACUUACAGCAUCUCUCUCUCCCUCUCUUCCUCUGCCCACCCCUCCUUUUCCUUUUCAAUAGAAUUGAUGCCACUAUGAAAUUCUUUUUUAUCACACAUAUUGGUUGUUUGUUAGUGAGUAACCAGUACUAACAGGUAAUUUUUUUGAAGAAGAGAGUGGAAUCUGUGUAUUGCAUAAGCAUAUGCAGAAAUGCAGAAAGAAGCAGGCUUAACAGUCAUUAUAACAUGGCUAAUUGCAGAAUCUGGGAAUUUUUUAUAGUCAUUCUUCUUCAAAGAACCAUCACUCAGGAUGUGUGGCAGCACUCUUUGAAUUCCCACAGGUCACUGCUUGUCUUGGAAUAUGCAGAAGUGAUAUUUGCUCUCUGUUCUCAACAAUUCCUAUUUUCCUACAGGUGCCAGAAAAGACUAGAGGAAAGGCACUAAAUUCUGAUUAACACACACACACACUGAACUUGCAACGUUGUGAUUUAGUUUCAUAUUUUAUCUGGUUAGAGACCUCCUUAUUGAACCUUUCUACCUUGCCAAUAAUGGUAAAGCCUACAAAUGAGAUGUAAACAUUGCAUGAAAUGUGAGGAGGCACUUGGCAAAUCCUGCCUGGUGGGAAGCAUGUCUUUCAGGUCCUGGAUAACCUGGUCAGACUCUGCCAUCAUAAAGAGUAGCUAUGUCUCCUGUACUUCACAGAGGAGAUGGAGCCCCCUCCUCAUGCUCUACUUGCCUCAAGAAUAGAGGUCAAUUUAAAAAAAAAAAAACCAAAUAGACCUGUCCCACUCCCCCCACCCAAGAAAUAUUGCAUUCAGAGCAGGGAGCUGAAGGGCUGCUGGUACAAAAGUCUCUCUCUAUGUUUGUUUGUUCACAGUUAAAGCAUUCACCCACAAUACUUGAGGUCUGAACCAGCUCACAAUCUGUUCUCACAUACAAGGAGUGUCCUCGACCUGGGUUAUUUUAGGCAGAAAAUCAUGUAUGAUCCAGUGAGCCAGAGAGAAAAUACAUGUGAACAUGAGGCUUAGUGGUCUGUAUUCACCUGAGGGCUCCAGUUUCUAUGUUAAGGACAGACUCAGCUCUGAUGUCAGCUUCUGACACAGCAAUUUGAAGUUCUCUUCCCAGCUAGGGUAGUUCACAUGCUGCAGAAUUAUCCAGUUUAGCAUUGUCCUCUAUAACUUAAUUAUAUUCUCCAUUCUCCAUGAGGAGAAAGGAGAAUGUCCUGAUGGGUGUGGUAACCCACCUCUUUUGAAACAGAUGGGAACUGAUACCCUAUAUCAAUACCUCUGACCAUAGGAAAUAAUUCAAUCAGCCUGGAAGAGUGUUCUGACUGUUUAUGAGCUGUUUUGUAGGGUCUAAUAAGAGUUACCUCAUAUUAGCUUAACUGAAAAAAAACCAAGGACAACCUCUCCUUUAUUUUGGAAGAGGUAAUAUUGGUCAUUUCUUACUUAAGACAGAGGUUUCUGUGAAGUCACACUUCUAUUCUGGAUGCUUCUUAUUAAUGAUCAUGAAUGGUUUUUUGCUGAGCAGGUUAUUUGGCUCACCAGCUGACUUAUCCUUUUGUCAGGUUCUCUUCUUAGAAUGAUUUUCAGAAUUUUUAAUCUCUAUCAGAUAGCAUUAGGGCAAAUAUAAAAUAGGUGAUAAAAUAAUCUCCUUCCCAAAGAUAGGUUUUAUUUGCUGAAUUAAUUUUAUUCUGGAACUGAGUGUUUGAAAUCCAUCACUAACUCCUGCUUGCCUUUCAGCCUGCCUGAAGCUCUCUGUGCUUUGUCUCACUAAUAAAGCGUUGUGUGGUUCAGUUUUAUGUUUGUUUCUUAAACUGCUCUUCCCCGUUGCCACUGUUUGUUCUGGCUGUUUGGGAUUUCAGCAUCUCUUGUUUGCUCUCCUCCCCUGCUGCCUUUCCAUUCCUGCAGCCCUCUGGGCUUUUGCUGUGAACUGCCCAUCUGAUGGGUUUCCUGCUGACUUUAUCUGAUUGCUGCAGCUCUAGCAUUAGCUGCACUGAACACUGGAGCACCAUCCCUGGGCUCCAGGCUGCCUGCUGGGAGGUGCUCCAGCCACUCCAGAACCCGACCUAGCUCUGGCACUGGCUGCUAUCAACCAGGCAGGGCAAAAGGAAUUUUUUUGGUCGGUUCUUUCAUUUUUUACAUACCUAUGCCAAAGGAUUCUUCAUGUUUUUAUUUGGUUUUAUUUUAUUUUAUUUGGUUAUUUAGUUAUUUGGAGUUUGCUGUUACAGCAGCAUAGAUUAGAACUUCUUCAUUAAGAACUUUCAUGGCUUUGUGGUUUUUACUGAAUAUGAUGAGGGUUGUUUUCCCUUUGGUGAACAACAUCUUUUUUCCACCACAGAUAGAAUGUUUUCAAUGAAUAUGAUCUGUUCAUAAUUACUUGUUAUGAAAAACAGAUUUGGAUUACUGAUAGAAGCAUGAGGUGAAAAAAGAGGUAUAGAGUCUAACAUUCUUUGUGAUAGUAUUUAAAUUUACCAUAACAUUAAACCCUGAAUUUGAAUGACAUAAAUGGAUUUAAAACUUUGUGGAGUUAUUCAUUCAGUCUGGCAUCUUCUUUUAAAAUUCUUCCGCAGUUAGAAGAGAAAACUUUUUCUAAUGCCAGAUUAUAUGCUAAUAAAAUGUCACAUUUAAAACCAGGAGGUUUUAAAACCAGGUAGUUUCACAGGAACUGUGAAGUACACAGCUGGUUCCAAAGAGAAGUUGUAAUAUUCUGAUUUAUUUUGUUUAUACCUAUAUAAUUUGUCUUUCAGUUCAAAUACAAGAAUGGGCGGUAUUCAAAUACAUUGUGAAUGCAAUGGGUCAAUUUCACAUUUGGGAGAACAAGUUCAGAUAAAAAACAAGAUAUGCGUUAUUAAUGAGCUUAAUUUGUCAUUGAAACAAUGUUUCUUCAAAUGUGGUGGUUAUUUGUUGUCAGGACCCUAAAUUGCACCUGUAUAUCCUCCUAAAAUAAUCAGCAAUUGGAACAGCAUGGUUUGGUUUGAUGCAGAAUUGCUCCGAUUUUUGGUGAAUUCUAUAGAUGCUAUCUGGCUCGAUAAACAGAUUUGUUUUUUAAUUCCUGAAGGCACACUGUGCAACAGCUUUACAAAAAUUUAAAUUGGGCUACUGGGUCCCUAAACUGAGUGCUCCAGGCCAGGGGCUGCCCUGUCUCUCUCCCUGUGGGGAGGUGAAAAUCUGGGAGCAUCCCACCUCUGCGGGGUCAGAUGCAAAACAAACUCCUCUGCACAAACCCACAGCAGCUGCCAGGCAAACUGGCUGCACAGCCACGGGUAGGGUUUGCUUUUUGUUUUUGUUUUGUGUUGCUUUAGGGGCGAUUUCAAGCGGUGCUUUCCAAGAACACGCAUCAGUGGUUUUCCAAAAGCCUUCCAGAGAUCUGAACUAAUCUGCCACAGUGCACAUCACCUCCUUGUGGUAUCCCUGUGGAUAGUGCUGCUUUUCCUGCUUCCUUUUAUUAAACAUGAUGUGUUCAGAGAGGGUUAAUCCAGAAACCAUCCAUGUCUCCUGCAGAAACAACAAUAGAGAAGGUUAAUCCAGAAACCACCCAUGUCUCCUGCAGAAAUGGGAAUGCCAAUUUUGGCCAGUUACUGACAUAGGAUUUAAACAGCAAGAAGAAAAUUCUUCCUGCUUAUGAUCAGGAAGGUACCUAGCAAUAUUUUUUGGUAGGUGCAGGCUGGUCACAGCAAAUGGCAAAGUAGUAAAUCUCUUCCAGGUAUUUAUGUUUUGCUUUAGGUUGCAGAAAAUUCCACAAUUCUACUUUUUUAUUGCAUAGCUUGCUCCAGCUAGUUGCUGUACAAUUACUGAAUUAGAAAGUCAAGUGAAUUUAUAAAAUAGUGCAAAAUAGGUGUUUCUUCAUGGACACAUUUGCUUUGCUGUUGGAAUACAUGUGUAGUGAUACAGUGCUUUGUGACAUUGAUGAAUACUUGCUAUUAUAAAAAUAAAAAUAGAAGAGAUUUUUCUCCAAUUUAUUCUAUUUUAGGAUUUAGAGAAAUUAAGCUUCCUUCACUUUUAAUUGUGUUUUGCAGAGAAUCUCUAUCUCUUCAUCUCUGUGAAGCUUCUCCCUAUUAGUUCACCCACUGGCACUGGCUGGCAUGGAGCCUGUGGAGCCUGCAGUUGGCAUUCUGCAGCUCAGAGGGGUGUGCUCAGAAAGCAAAACCCAAAUUUUGCCAACGUAUGUGCAACUGGCUUUGACUCCAGGGCAGGCGAUUUGCACUUAGGCUACACAAUAAAUUGAUUUGUCAGCUCAGUGACCGACUUAAAAAUAAAUAAAUUAAAAUGGUUUCAGCUGGAAAGAAACAGAUCCCUCUUUACUCCUCCCCACUUUUGUUGUUUUUUUUUUUUUUUUUUCCCAGCAAAUUAAAGCAAGAUGCUUUUUUCGAGCACAAGAAAAAAUUAAUUCUCAGACAUUUUAGAUAAAAGUAAAAGCUAGAUUUUAGGACGAUAUAGGCUCUAUCAGAAAAGAGGUGCUGCACUUUUCUUAUGUAUAUUGGAUCAGAAGCACUCCAAAUCUCUACUGAUUUUAAGGAGAUUAUUCCCCCUCCCCGCCACUUAACUUAAAAGAAAAUGACACAACUGUGGAGUUAUAUGCUAUUACAGAAUGUUGUGCCUUUCUGUUGGAACAUCUCCACUAUGUAUUAGCUGCUUAAACUUCUCUUUUGGUCAGCAGCACAAAACUGCUGCUAAGAACAUUCCCAGCUUACUGUAUUAAUGAAUCCAAGUGCUCAGUAGAAAAGAAAUGAUAGACUGAGGGGGCAUUACCCCACAGUUCUUCAUUAUUUUGUGCAUAAGGUAUUUUUCUAAAUGCUUGAUUUGGUUCAGAGAGAGAUUAGAUUUGAAUAUGAACCUCUGAUGUUCUAAUUGUUGGUCUGCAAAGCCAGAAAGCUCCUUUUUGGGCAGAAUAUUGCAAAACUAAUAAUUGUUAAAAUAUUGGGGGAAAAUAAGAAGCAGCCACUUUGCCAUAAGCAGAUCAGUGUCUGCACCUGCCUGAAAGGAGAUUGUGGCGAGGUGGAGGUUGAUGUCCUCUCCCAGGUGACAGUUUAUAUGAUGAGAUGAAAAAGCCUCAUGCUGCACUGGAGAGGUUUAGAUUGGAUAGCAAUAAAAAUGUCUUCACUGAAAGGCUUGUCAGACAUCAGAACAAGCUGCCAAAAGAAGUGGUUGAGUCACCACCCCUGCAGACUUUUAAAAGACAUGUAGAUGUGGCCCUUGGGGACAUGGUUUAGUGGCAGUGUUUUGCAGUGCUGAGCUAAAAGCUGGACCCUUAGAGGUCUUUUCAAAUUUCAGUGAUUGUAUGAACACUGGAGUCAUACAAUCACUGAAAUUUGAAAAGGAAAAAUUGAAAAGGAAAAUUUGUGAGUCUUGUUUCUUUUGUAUUAUUUGGUGGGAGUUACUCAGUGUGGACUUGCCUUGAUUUUCUAUUUGCUUGAGUUUGGAAAGGAGAAGACACAUAGCUUCCAGACUGAGAGUUUAAUAUAUCUGAAAUGUAUGGUGAAACUUUUCUUGGUCAUGUGAGUGGUAUUAUCUUGCAUUGUUAUAAGUUUAGCAUGGUGAUAUUUUAAUUCUUGCAAAAUUCUCUACUACAUUUAUUCAUCCAGAAGAUAUUUUCCCUUUUAAAAUAGGUAAGACAACAUAGUAUGUCUCUGAAAGUAUUACUCUCAUAAAAAAUUGUGAGACAGCUCCAGAAAAUAUUCUUGAAUCUAAGCUUCAUAAGUAAAGACAGUUGUAUGGAGUAAUUAUUCUGUCAUUAUUCCUUUUAUUCAUUCCUUUGUUGAGACAAGUUAGUGCAAAAUCUUACCUGCCUGGUCUGGCAUAAUGAUUCUAAGUCAGUGGACAAGCUGUCAUGAUUUCAGUCUCCUUUUGAGAUCCUCUCUCACCAUUUUUCUGGCACUCCUAGUGCCUGGGAUGGUAUUUUUAAAUAGCCCCUGAGCUGUGCCGUUUAACACUGACAUUUCACUCAGUUUGCACAGCCUCCCUUUGUGUGACAGAUAAUUUAAACCCUGUGGCCCUGUUCCAGCAUAGUUUCCCCAUCCUCUUCAGGUGGGCAGCCCCUUACCUGAAGCCACAACCCACUUGCUGAAGAAAUCUGGUUACAUGACCUCGAAUAAUUUAUCUGCUUGUAUUUUCCCAGGAUUUGCAGAAGCAAUGGCCUUGAAGGCCAGUGGUGUAGGGAAGAGCAUCGUUGGGAAUGCUCAACUCCUCACGAUGGAGGGAGUGCUUCCCUGUGUGAGCCUGGCACUGGAUUUUUGCAGGGUAUCCUGAGACAGCUCUGUCUGCUCACAGUGUGUGAAAACCAGCUCAGGACAGCUUGUAAGGGCUCCCUCUUUCCAAAUCCUUUUCCUCCCUGCCAGAAGGUUCAGGGGACAAGAAGCUUAGGCAUCUGUUUCAGAGCAGAGCCCCAAGCAGCUUGCCCAAAAUCGUGUGUUUGUGGAGACACAUGAGUUAGAGUUUUCUCAUCCUUUGAGCAGGAAAGUGGAAGAAAGUUGGUUGGCUUUUUAAAAAUAUAAUGAUAUUUUAAGUAUAUGUCUGUCUGAGUCAUGCAAAAUCUCAGUGAUUCCCCACAGUGAAUAAUAUUGCUUAAAAAUUACCUUAAAUGUUCAAUUGUUUGGUAUUCCAAUUCUGCCUCAAACUUUUGAGGAAUGUACUUUAUUCUGCUAACUAUAUUCCCUUCUAUACUUGGUAGGCUUUAUUUUUUUCCCCUCUUUGUCUAUGUACUUAUUUGCAAAUGUUCAGUAGACUAAUUAAGGUUUCUGAAGGUUUAACCUUGUCUUAUACAGUAGAUCCUGAGACUUGCCAUGGUGUCAGCUCAGUAGGCUGGAGGGAAGGGUUCCAGAAAAUAUUGUGUAAUAUUGCCAAACAGGGCUUUGCUGCUGAAAUUACUCAUUUCACAGAGCUUAGGUCAAUGUUAAUGUGACAGGGAAGAUUUAAUCCUGUGGGAAAGUCUUUUCAUCACAUAGUUUUAAAAGAAAUUUUAUCACCUGAGUGUAAAGGGUACUUUGCUGUUUGUCUUUUACUUAAUUGUUCUUUAAUUUGUGAAAGAGAACUAUAUUUUUAAUUAAUUUCCAAACAAAAGCAAGUUAUACACUUUGCUUAUAACGGAGCACACUGGACUGAUUCUGCAUCAGCAGAGAAUAUUCCCCUGGUUUUGUGUAAAGGAAACAUAUUUCUGAAAUAAUUUAAAAAAAAAUAUAAGGGGAACCUUCCCACACUAGUUUUUUCCAAAUUGCAAGACAAUGACAGGUCAACCAGAUGCUGCUCCCCUUGAUGUCAUGGUGUGAUGCCAUCAAACAGUGCAAGCUUCUGCUGAUGUAACUUUUGUUUGAUAAAAUUGAAAACAUUUAAAAUGUCACUGAUCUCACCUCAUGGAACUAUUGCUAGUCCUUCUACUUGAGAUUUUGCACCCUAGUUCUGGAAGAUUUAUUAUUUUCUCAUAAGAGCUUCUAAUUCCAUUGUAUUUGUGAGACAGAGAUCUUCACUGGGUUUGCAGCACUAGAAAAUAAUAGAGGGCAGAAUAAUUUAUGUUUUUUGGGUUUUUAAUUGUCCAGAUAGUAGAUGAUGCCAUUACCCUGUGUUUGGGCCAAAUACACAAUAUAUACACGUCCUAGAGUAAAGAUUUGUGCCAAAAUUGCACCCUUGCCUAUAGCAUUGACAAACCUCAAAAAAUAUACAGCUAAAUCAAAACUAAAAACUAAAAAAAAUAAAACAAAAAAAAAAAAAAAAAGCAAGCAAGAAAUAAAUCCUCUUUUGUUGUAUAAUAGUGAAGAGAUGUAUCGAAAUCCAUAAAUUAGGCAGAGCUUUAAAUCCACAUAUAAUUUCAAUUACAUACAUCUGUUUCUCCUUAGGAAGAAUGAAGUGAGGUCAACAGCUAAAAAUUUUACAGCCAUAAAGAUUCUUGGAUGCUUUUAAAGCCAUAUACAUAUGUGAUUUGUAAGAAACCUAUUUAUAUGUAAAAUUUCUCAUUUGAACAUUCAUUCUUUUUAUUAUGCAAACGCAAAAUUUUUUGGAAGCUACAGGCUUCGAAGUGAAGUGAAUGCACAUAUUUCAGCCCAAUGGUAUUGCUCUAAUUUUUUUCCCUUUUAACCCCCUGUUUUUUCUGUUACCAUGAAGAAAAAUAUCUGUUUAACUUUCAGACCUGCAGAUUGUUGGGAAUAGAUGGGACAUAGAUUUUCCCUCAGAAAAGUAUGUAAAAGGUUUCUGAGUUCUUUGACAAAAAUAAAAAUUAAAACCUUAAGGGAGGUUUUUGAGAGAAGCUGGGUGAGGGAGGAACAUUAUAUGCUGGGACUCAAGGUAGAAGAUUUUUUAAAUCUUUGAAUUAUAUGUAAUUUGAUGUAUUUGAGUGGCACUUCCUUUCCUUCUCUCACCCAGUACCAGGCACAGCCUUGAACAGAGCCCAGUUCAUUCAGCUGUGACAGUCUGGUUGUGACCCUGGUGAUGUGUCAUUCAGAACAUCAUUUUGCCAGUAAUGUUAAUAAAGCUGAUGACUUUACUGAUGAGGUUUUCAGUAACACAAAACAAAAUGGAAAUGCAUUUUACAUUCAUCCUAAAUGUACAAUAUAAUGUAUUGACCCUCCUUGAGCCUGCAGUCUUUUUGAAUUCCUCAAAUAUUAAAAAGUGAGCAAGGACUUAAGUAAGCUUGCUCAACAAUAAAUCAAACAGGAAAGCAGAAUCGCUUGGAAUACAUAAUCGUAAAACCUUCACGCAUAAAAUAAAAAGCAAAAUACUGACCUAAAUUGUUAAUAACAGAAAAAGUCUGUUAAUACCUGUUGUAUAAACCCCUAAUCUUUACAGUUGUUAACAGAAACUGGAGUGCAUGCAUAAAAAACCUCUCUUCACAGCAGUGCUGUUAUCCACAUCAAUCAAGAUAAUCCCACAGUAAAACCUUGCUAAAGAAGAAAUGUGGCAUAUUUGGAUAAUGUCAAUGAUUAGAAAACAUGUCCCAGAAAAUGCCAUGCAAAACAAGUUUAAAUAUUAAUGCACACCUUCCUAACCCUUUUCAAACUGAGUCUCAAAUUAUUUACGUGGACCUCAAGGGCUGAACUCUGAUUUCACUUCCACGUGUGAAACUUAUCAAAGAGGACAAUUUUGUUCUUUAGACCACACUAUAAAUUAAGUGCCUGGAAGGUUUUCAUAGGGUGCAUGGUGUGUUCUGGAGAAAUCAUUGAAAAAGACAGAAUUACACACUAAACCUCUGUGAACAAUCAUGCCCUUAUUUUCUGCCCUAGAUUGAUGGUAAUUGAAUAUGAUUUGCACUUGCAGGUUGGCACUCAUGCACUGCUAAUCACUUGGGAAAAUACAGCACAUUGAGCUCUCGAGUGUUAUUCUGCUAUUGUUUUUCAAGGCAAUCAAAGAAUUGGCUCUCCUCGUGUGCUUAUGAGGAAGGUGGUAUUAAAAAAAUAGGUAAUUGAAAUAGAAUUAGUUCAGCUAAUUUUAGAGGGCUAGAGUUCAUAAGUCUGGAUCUUAGCUGUGAUUUCACAAGUGUGGAGUAUACUGUCUUAUAAAAUGUCUUUUUCUGUCCACAAACUCAACAAGACCUUCUUAUGCAAAGACUAUGUUGUAGCUAUCCAGAGUUGGUGAGAUGGAUGUCACCAAAAGUUAAAUUGAGCAAGGCACAUUUCUGCAGAGCUUAGCAAAACUGGAGCUUUUUGAACUUUUUGGAGCAGUGCAGCAACCAAACCCUACAGAAACCAACAGGCAUGGGAGAAACACAAAGGAAAGCAUGAACAUAGAGUGAAAAUAAUGUUCACACUAAAACAUAAAAAUUGUAUAAAAAUCUGUGUUUCAAUAGGAAGGUGAUUAACUUUGUAAAUGGAACCCAUCAAUAUUAUAAUUGUGGGAUGAGAAGGCUCACAAAGUCAGAGCAGAAUUCAUUUUUCAACAAGUCCCCAGUUCAAUUUAGCUCCAUGAAAUGUUGUGCGGCUUUAAGGAUACAGCUGAAAACCUGGAUGAUCAGCUGGGUAGCCUCACCAACUAGGAAAGAAAGUGUGAGGAAUUACACUAUGCUAAAGCUGCCUGGAAAGACCACACGCAGAAAAAACUUGGGUUGGGGUUUGUUUUAGGUUUUAAUUUUUAAGUAGAAGAAAUAUAUUAUCUCUGACCUCCUUUCUGGGAAGAAGAAAAAAGAUAUUAAAAUAUUUUAUAAUAAAAAAGUAGGAUAUUAUUUGGUACAGGAGUAAGCAUCCUACCUGUGGAGCUUCUAAACUGUGAUUAAAUAGUUUAAUUGUUUUAAUUUUAAAACCCCCAAACAACUAGGACCAAAAAUUUGUAGAGCACCUUAAUCACAAAACAGAGGAAAAUAUGAUUCUGGCAGUGGGCUGAGCUGUAGGAAUGCUGCUCUCACUUUGUGGUUCACUCUCUGGAUGUUAACAUAUGACUUAUAACAAUGACAUAUAACUCUCUUUAUGAAUAACAUGUGCUUGGCCUAGGUGGCUGCAGAAGGAUGUAGGAGCCCCAUAUCUUCAAGAACAUCCAAAAUCUGGAGGUUUGUUUGUGUGGGCCUACGCUGAUCAAAUACAACCUCUUCUAAGAAGUGGGAGUGGACAUGGAAGUACCUAACUGUUUGCUGCUGCAAGCUGAACUCAAAGAUGCUGAUGUGUGUAACUGUAGUGAUGGGUUUAUGGUAAGUAUUUGAAGCUGAAUUUUUCUUUUUUUUUUUUUUUUUUUUUUUUUUUUUUUGAGAUUUAUGACCUAUAUUUCACUUACUUGUGGAAAAGCCUUGGAGUGGUUAUGUGCAAUUCUUGUGAUUUUUUUCAGCUAUUCUGAAAUCGUAUUCUUCCGUUUUUGUCCUGUGCAGUAGGAUAUCACUUAUAAAAUAUAUUUUAGUGGUUUUUAAAAUGAUGUAGUCUUCUAUACACUACUGAAUGUUUGAAUUGUGAUCCCUUAUUGAAUUGUGCCCUUUAUUUGAUAUGUUGUCAAAUGCCAUUUCAAAUUUCUUUCUGAUACUUCAUCAGACUGAUGCUUCUUUUGUCUCUUCCAUCAUCUCUUCCACAAUUGCAACAUAGCAGUAAGAGUAACAAAGUCUGAUUUAAUAAUCUGCUUACAACAUUUCAUAGGUCAAAUAACAUCUUUUUCCCAAGACAGAACCACAUUUCUGAAAACUAAUUAGAUAUUUUGCACCAUUGAAAAAUAUAUCUUUAAAAAAAUUCUUUAAUGCUUUGGUUUUUCCAGAAAAAUUAAAGAAAAAAAUUAUCUGUGUGAUUAGGAGAAUAGUAGCCCUGAGGUUAUACUCUCCUAUCUGUUAAAAUCCAUUCCUACCAGACUUAACAAGAGCUCAACUUCAUGGCAGAAUUGAUUUGAAGUGCAUCUUCACUCUUGACUUUCUCUGUGGUGGCUCAUUUCCAUUUUCCGUGCUCCUUUGCAAUGGCAUUCUUCCAAGCUGUGAGACUGAGAAGUACAAGACCAACACUGAUUUCAGCAGGGAACUGCAGAGACAUUUGCCCUUUAUUGUAGAUGCAGAACAUAAAUUGAAUCCAGAGAGAGCAGCAUCCCUGAAAUUACCCUAGGAAUAAUUUUUCUAGAGCAGACAUUUAGAUGAUGAGCAUUGUUCCCUUUUGCUAAGCUUUUUUAAUAUCAUAGAAAGUCAAGCAUGUUCCUACUGUAAAUAUUGUAUAUCCCUUUUUUAAACAUGAUUUUUACACAAACUCUUUUGGGUGGCAAUACAAAUGCAAAAUACUUAGGAUCCAAAUUAAUUCAGAAGUAGAAGAUCCAAUUUGGAACUUUGCACAAUAAAUAACUGCUGAGUGUGGAUUUUGAUGGAGGAUAAUUUAUCAGAUAAAACUGCGGGUCAUGGUGUAUUUAAGGCCACUACUUCUAAUACUGGAUUUUAUUGUAAAAUCAAUUAAUUGAUCAAUUAAUUAUAGUCAGUCAUUUAUCAUCCUAAUGCAGACACUUUUCUCCCUCAAAGUCAGACUGUGCCUCUCUUGUAGGAGUAAUGGUUUCCAGAACACUUUUUAUUUUAUUGGAUUUGUUUGGAAAGGGAGAAGGCAGACCUCAAAGCCACACAGGCAGAAUUGAAACAAUCACUUUGCUUCCUCUACAAAGGCAAAAAUCACAGGCAAAACCUUCAUCUGCAGGGAAGGAGAUACUACCAACCUAAACUAGAAUCCUGAAUUUCUUGUUGUCCUUGCCAAAUUGAAUGUAGGGAUUGCAUUCAGAAAUAGUUUAUGGGACUUUUCACAUGAGUUAAGAGUCCAUACAGUGUUGCCAGAAUGUGUUUCUAGUAACAAACAGCCAAAAAUUCCUCUUAGUUUACACCAGCUAAGAAAGAGGUUCCUGUUUGAUUGCCAGUGUGUGGCCAAGGGACACACAUAUCCAGUGGUAUUUCAGCAGCAUGGCAUUAAACAUGGCAGUAGCCAUUCUAAAAAUCAACCACCAGGUCAAAAAUCUACAAAUUAUCUUCCUUCCCUUGGACAAGGGAAGGUUCAAAAUAGAAUCCAGAGAACCCAGAGCAAUUAUCUCAAUUUAAUAGGAAAUGCUGAUGGUAAGAAUGUGUAUGAACAACCUCACAUGGUGUUUCAUAUCCUCACCAGACUCUUUCCUUUUCUGCAAUUACUUAUUUUUCUAAUGUCUGUCACAAUGAGGCACAGCCAGAGAGGUGGGAUCAGGGGAAAUUGAAAUCUAUAUCCUCUGUGUGUCUGCUGUUUUUGUCUAGUGGAUUUUCUACAAUUACUGCUCCUUUGGAAUUUCUUCUCUUUUGAACAGUGCAAUUAAAUAUUCAAGAGGCCAGAAAGAAAAAAGAGGAGAAAUAUCUGUGAUGGGUGCAACCAAUCAUUCACACGAUGAUAUUUGGACCUAGAAUCAAACAAUUUUUAGCUGGGGUUUAUUUAUGGAGCUUCAAAUAUCUUUUUUUGAUUAUUUUUCUAUCACAGUUUAGCAUUCAUCAAUUAGCCAUCGAUAAUCAAACUUCGUGUGAUACCUAGAGGUGUAUAUACACUGACUAUAUAUAAGUUUUUAUUUUAAUUACACACCCCUCAUUUUGAUAAUGAGGUAUAUGAUUUAAUCUACUUUAAUUAUGAAUCCUUGUUUUCCUGCUGUGUUUUACUGAUCAGUUGUUUGACCAUGUAAUACAUAUAUUUCAGUUAUUUCUUUCAUAUAAGUUUAAUUGUUCCAUGUGAAUCCCAAAAAAUAAACACGCGUGAAAAAUUUAUUAAAUGUUACUGCUUCUUUAGAAAUUAUUUUCAGUGACAGUCUAGUCUGCAUUGAAGUAAUGUAUUAUUUGAUACAAUUUUCUGCAAAAACAAUAAAAAGGAAAAAGAACAGAAAUUUCCAGGCUGAGUUUUGCAAUUUUCAGAGAUGGCCAUCAUCAUGAAAGUUCUUUCUUUCCUAGUGAGAUUAUAUUAUUAGAAUCACAAAUGAAAACAUGCUUUGUACAAAUCUAAAUAACAACUAACCACGGGAUAAGUUGUGGUCUUAUUGUUCUAUAUUAACAGUAAUUCUGAUGGAGGGGAAUCAUCUGCUACUCAGGGAAUAAAAACAACUCCAUAUCUCUGUAACUUGCAAUCUCAUUGUGUGGCUCAUGUUGGACUUCUUUGCCAUGUUAUUCAUGUCUUUCAAGAAACAAUGAGAAACUCAGUAAACUGUGAAAAAGUUCCAUUAGAUAA